rnacentral:rRNA from 1 species
UACGGAGGGGGCUAGCGUUGUUCGGAAUUACUGGGCGUAAAGCGCGCGUAGGCGGCUUUGUAAGUUAGAGGUGAAAGCCCGGAGCUCAACUCCGGAAUUGCCUUUAAGACUGCAUCGCUAGAAUCAUGGAGAGGUUAGUGGAAUUCCGAGUGUAGAGGUGAAAUUCGUAGAUAUUCGGAAGAACACCAGUGGCGAAGGCGACUAACUGGACAUGUAUUGACGCUGAGGUGAGCAA